AAAUGGGAGCCAGCAGGGUGAGUUUGAGGAAGCAGAGACCAGUGACGGCAAGGAGGGGGCAUGGAAAGCAAGCAGAGGAGGUGAACUCUCAGAGUUCCUGUGAGAUAAGCAAACUUGAUGGUGAUUUAAUUCCCUAUAUGGGCCAAAUUGCAAGAUAAAAGCUUUGCUUUAAUCCAAUCUCUUGACAUCUAAACACAGGAGGUCAAGGCUAUGGACAGAUCUAAAAACAUGAGAUUCUCCCCUUCUGGGGCCCCAUAAUUUUUGGACUGCUGUCUGAUCUCUGGAGGACUGAUGAAUCCACACCAAGCAACAGUGGACAGCAGUGUUCUACCUGUGAAAACUUGUUUCUUGUAAGCCCAUCGGGUCUCUCAGGGCACCACUUCUCAUGCCCUUGAAACAGGAGUGAUAUUGGCAGAGAAGGAGCAUUCCCUCCCAUCUGGAAGAAAAGGAGGAUUCAGGCCCUUUGCUUCACUAAGGUCAUAAAAGUCAGAGUGCACAGAGAUGCACUUGCAAUAUGGCAGCCACUGGCUACAGGGGGCUACUGAGCACCUACAUUGUUCUCAGUAUGAACUGAGAUAUGCUGGGGAAAAAUACAAGAAAGUAUUUUAAA